UACGGAGGAUGCAAGCGUUAUCCGGAAUGAUUGGGCGUAAAGCGUCCGCAGGUGGCUGUGUAAGUCUGCUGUCAAAGAGCAAAGCUCAACUUUGUAAAGGCAGUGGAAACUACACGGCUAGAGUGCGUUCGGGGCAGAGGGAAUUCCCGGUGUAGCGGUGAAAUGCGUAGAGAUCGGGAAGAACAUCGGUGGCGAAAGCGCUCUGCUGGACUGCAACUGACACUCAGGGACGAAAGCUAGGGGAGCGAAUGGG
rnacentral:rRNA from 1 species